GACGAACGCUGGCGGCGUGCCUAAUACAUGCAAGUCGAACGCUUUUUCUUUCACCGGAGCUUGCUCCACCGAAAGAAAAAGAGUGGCGAACGGGUGAGUAACGCGUGGGUAACCUGCCCAUCAGAAGGGGAUAACACUUGGAAACAGGUGCUAAUACCGUAUAACACUAUUUUCCGCAUGGAAGAAAGUUGAAAGGCGCUUUUGCGUCACUGAUGGAUGGACCCGCGGUGCAUUAGCUAGUUGGUGAGGUAACGGCUCACCAAGGCAACGAUGCAUAGCCGACCUGAGAGGGUGAUCGGCCACACUGGGACUGAGACACGGCCCAGACUCCUACGGGAGGCAGCAGUAGGGAAUCUUCGGCAAUGGACGAAAGUCUGACCGAGCAACGCCGCGUGAGUGAAGAAGGUUUUCGGAUCGUAAAACUCUGUUGUUAGAGAAGAACAAGGAUGAGAGUAGAACGUUCAUCCCUGACGGUAUCUACCA
rnacentral:rRNA from 1 species